GAUGAACGCUGGCGGCGUGCCUAAUACAUGCAAGUCGAACGAGCUCUUCGGAGCUAGUGGCGAACGGGUGAGUAACACGUGGGCAACCUACCCAUAAGACGGGGAUAACUAUUGGAAACGAUAGCUAAUACCGGAUAGGAUAUAAAGACGCAUGUCUUAAUAUUUAAAGAUGCUACGGCAUUACUUAUGGAUGGGCCUGCGGCGCAUUAGCUAGUUGGUAGGGUAACGGCCUACCAAGGCGACGAUGCGUAGCCGACCUGAGAGGGUGAACGGCCACACUGGGACUGAGACACGGCCCAGACUCCUACGGGAGGCAGCAGUAGGGAAUCUUCCACAAUGGACGAAAGUCUGAUGGAGCAACGCCGCGUGAGUGAGGAAGGCCUUCGGGUUGUAAAGCUCUGUUAUUAGGGAAGAACAGCAUAAGUAGGGAAUGACUUAUGUGUGACGGUACCUAAUGAGAAAGCCACGGCUAACUACG
rnacentral:rRNA from 1 species